rnacentral:lncRNA from 1 species
CCCGUGUGGGCCCACACGCCCUUGUGGCCUACACGGUCCAAAUUGGCCUUGGUCGUGUGGAUCACACGGCUUGGCCGAAAAUCCCACAUGCCCGUAUGGUUCACCAGUAUGGCCCAUAAGGCCCAAAUUGGCAUGGCUGUGUGAUCGCACACGCCCGUAUGGUUCACCCGUAUGGGCCCACACACCUGUAUGACCCACACGACCCAACGGGUCGAGCUCGUGUAUGGCACACGGCCUCACCGGCCAUCACACAGCCGUGUACUUUGGCCGUGUCCUACGCGCAUGGCCUGG